AUAUCAUAUCAUAUCAUAUCACACAUUCAUAUCCUACAUACAAAAAUGUGUACAACUGACUUGGGGGUAAAGCCUGCAAGGGGAAUUAGGGAGACACUGGGUGCGGGUAAGUCCUGAUUCUUGAUCUGGGUGCUGAUUACAUGGGUGUGUUUCCUUUAUCAUGAAAAUGCACCAAAUUGGGCACCUAUGAUUUAUGUCCUUUUCUGAUCCUUGAAUAAACACUUUACCAAAAGCUUUGUAUACACUAUGUCCUUCAGCCAAUGUAGAGCACACGCUCCCAAAUAAAGCCCUUUGUCCUCAGGAAGGCAUCUUCCCUAGUGUUUUUCCUCUCGAUAUGAGAGCAGUUGAGGAGGGUUCUGUAGGGUUGUCCUUCUCUGCAGGCUCCCACUGGUCUGGGUUGAGGGACAGCUCAUCUGACCCAUCUUUGGGUAUUGGCUCUUGGUACUGCAUCCCUGCUCAAGUGUCUGUGGCUUGUGUCACCUGUAGUCUGUUUUCUCAGCAUGGGCAACACCCUGGAAUUUCUUCCGGAGAGAUGGGUUCAGCCCCACCAGCAUGUGGUGUCCCUAGAGUCAUGCAGUGCAUAACCUACACAACGGUCCAUGGCAGCCCUGAUCCUCGUCUCACUUCCCGGGGGUCCUGUGGAGCCUGUGAGACCUAGACAUGCUCUCCAUUUGCCCCCACCUCACCUCUGCCUUCGCCUACUGUUACCGCUGGGCCUGCUUCCCCCUUCUCUAUGCCUCACAGAGACUUGAAGACUUCCUCCAAAGGUGAAUUCAGACGUCUGGCUCCAAGAAUGCAGAGGCAUUUGUUCAAGAUUUAACAGUGAGUCGGGUUGGGCCACCCCUUUGCCCACUUCCCUUCUGACCAUCCAGGUCAGGGGUUAAGCCAGGCUCAGCCUCAGCCCCAGUUCCCCGAUCCACAAAUGUUAAGACAGGGAAUCCAGCUGGUGUUCAAAGAAUAUGCGUUGGCUCAAUGAACAGCUCGAAUGAACGUGAUGUAGAAAUACCGGGAAAUCUACUCACCGACCCAGGAUUUAUCGUCUUAGGUGCUGCUUGAUCUUAUGGUGAUGAUGAAGCGUUUCUGGGAAUAUGGGGCUGACAAAAAUUCAGGCAUUGGUGGGAAGGUGGAUUAAACCGUUUUGAUGGCAGAGGCAGAUCUAGUUUGCAAUAUUUCCCCAUGGUUACAGCUGUGGAUCUUGAUGACCUGACUGUUGGCAGAAGCGCAGUCUUUCCAAGAGCCCCUGCGAGAGUCUUUUCGGGAAGGCCGUGUCAAGAAGCCACGAGGACGUGCCACCACAGGACGUGACGUGCCCAGUGGAAACUUGCAACAGACAUCAGUGGAGGAAGUCACGUCUCUGGAGUGAGGACGGUUAUGGGAACACGUGGAAAUGGUUCUAGAAAGCAGGAGGCAACUCUGCCUGCCUCCAGAGACAGGCUUGUGCCAAUCAGCAUGGGCCAGGAGGCAGAGGCAAGACUCUCCAAGGCAGAGGAAGGUGGCUACAGUGUGAAUCAAAGAGGCCAUUUCUCUGCUCUGAGUUUGGAAGCAGUCUUAAAAUCUCAUACAAGACGCCGGGUCUUGUAAGUCAGACUUUUCAGAGAGAGAAAGGGUUUUCUUAAAACUACCAAGGCUGGAGUUUUCACACAUCAAAAGAUCAAAGCUCAGAAAAGUUGGACGAUCGUUUGGUGAAUCAUAGAGGAGGGCAGAAUGCAGAUAGGACAAAAGGGAAGUUUCUACCUCACAGGAAGAAGAACGGGUAUCUUGUGACUUGGAGAAAGAAAUGAGAAAUAGGGCAAGAAAAGGCAAGUGGGGUCAAGUUCUGAGUGUGCUGGUUCCCCCCACUCUACCCAUUGGGAUCAAACCCCAGUAGGGAAGGGAAGGUAGAAACACCCAGUAGUUUUAAGCACUCUGAGAACAUCAGGACUUGUACCCCCCUGUCCCUGAGUGUAGCCUAAGGAGUCUUCUCUUUCAGAGGAGCCCUGGGCUCAGCCUGACAUUGAAUCCAUCAUGGCGCCCAAGUCAUAGAGUAGAAAUGGUUGAGAGAGGUGCUUGGAAUGCUGGAUGUGAGAUUAGAAUCCCUGGUUCAUGACAUACGGUCCAGCACGAAAUGUGGAGGAGGUCCAGAAGUUCCUGUGUGCCACAGGAAGACCCAAAAAGUAGCUGGGGUGCUACCUGGUGAGUUCACUAGGUUGUCACCAUGGCAAAUGGCAGAGUGACCAAAGCUGAAGGAUGGACUUCUCAAACUGGGGAUCAAAUGGGGGAUCAGGCCUCGGGGAAGCAGGAGCCUCAGGGAGAACCAGGUAAGACCACGGCAGCCGGCCAGAGCCUCCAACCUGCAAGCAUCAUAUAACUGAGUCAGAAGAUCUGAAAAUAAGGAACUUUCCCUUGCAAGAAGUCGCCAUCUUGGAAUGGUGAAAGGAAAAACUUUGUAGUUAUGGAGAAACCCAAAGAUGAAGUAAUUAUCCAAAAGGAGAUGAUUUUACACCAGGAGACUCUGAGAUACCAUAAUGGCAAGAACAAGAAUCUUUUGCCUGCGGUGAUAUGGGGCCUCUGGAGCUGAUUUGGAUUUUGUUGGCAGUCACAUUACGUGCACUUGGGCAAACUCCACCUCCACAAGAUACUCAUGACUUCUUUAGUAACAGACUUCAUUUUUUUCCAGUUAUAAUGGUGAUAGGGUCCUAUUUUAGAGAGUUUGGGGAACAACACUGUAAAGAAGAAGAAAAUAAAUGUCAACCCGUCAUGUCACAGAAUAGAGAUAACCACUGCUACCGUCUUGGUUUAUUUCCUUCCUGUCAGUUUGUAUGUGUGUUGUGUGUGUGCGUUAUUGUGACUGCACAUUUGUACAUCUUGUAUGUGGACAGGAUUCUUUAACGCAUGAGGCGCUUUUGCUUGUGGGAAGGAAUACCCACUACUAUGUUACUUUAUAACCUUCAAACCAUGAACAAUUCCAAAUGUCUGCAGUAGUCAUUACCACUGAAAUGGAAAUGUAAGAAAUUAACAAAUUUGAUUUCCCCCAAUGCUUAAACAUUGAAGUAUGACCAAUUACACUUCCCUAGACAUUUGAUGACAAAUCUCCAAUACAUCAAAUGAGCUCGUGUGCUUUUAAGUGCCUUAAAAUGGGGACAGAACAUGACCACAAUUUGACAAGGAUUUCUGUAUGGAACGGUGCUUAUACUCACACACUUAACAAAGGUGCCAAGACCAUGGAUUUAUAGCCUCUCUUCAUCAUCAUCUUCUUCCCGUGUUUAUCUCUCCCCAGGGGCGCAACUUUCCUUCCCUCAGCCUACAGAGCUGGGUGACUGUGAUGGGACAAAGGACGACGGGUCAGGAACUUUUCAGAUUACUGAUGCCGACAGCUCUGUUAUGGUUUGAUUUAUUGUAGACCUUGUCUUUGCCCCCAGAAUGACACUUGCUCUGGUAUUUUUCACUCUGUAGCCUGACCUGUUAUGAUCCUGUUUUGCAAUUGUCCAGGGGAAGGGUGGUUGGUAGGGGGUGUUGCUGGCCUGAUUUAGAUAAAAAUCUGUCAUACUGGGAGCGCCUGGGUGGCUCAGUCGGUUGGGCGACCGACUCGGGCUCCGGUCAUGAUCUAACAGGUCGUGAGUUUGAGCCCCGCGUCAGGGUCUGUGCUGAAAGCUCAGAGCCUAGAGCCUGCAUCGGAUUCUGUGUCCCCCCCCCCCCUGCCCCUCCCCUGCUCAUGCUCUGUCUCGUACUGUCUCUAAUAAAUCAAUAAAUGGUAAAAAAAUAAAAAAUAAAAAAAAAUCUGUCAUACUGAAACUACAGCUUCUCGUUCUCAUUGACUAUUUGGCAUAUAAUAUUGACAUUCUUGUUUUUUCUCCUAAUAUUGUUUCAUAAUUUUAAUGGCUGCAUAACAUCUGCCAGGAUGGAUGUGCCAUCAUUUAGUUAACCCGUUUCCUUAACUGUUGGGCAUUUACAUUGAACUCAAUUUGGUUUUCAUUAAACUCAUCUCCCUUUGAACAAUGCUUGCUCAUGAAUCUCAGCGUACCUUUCUGGUUUCUUGGGUUAAAGUCAUAGAAGGGAACCUCCGUGGUUGAUGGUUAUGAAGAUAUUCAGGGCUUUUGUAAUGUAAUGCCAAAUUGCUUUCUAGAACAGCGCUGUAGGCCUCAUUGUCGUGUGUGGGUCCCACACAGAAUAGGAGAAGGCAUUGCCAUCUUCCUCGGAGCCAGGGGAAUAAAGACACAGAGCAGGCUGAGGGGAGAGUUACUCCUGAAGGUUCCGGGGAAGGGCGGUCCAUGCCAGGGUUCCAGAUAUCACCCGUAUCACUCACAUACGGUAAGGACAAAUCUCGAUCCAGCUUGACAAGGCCAGG